CACAGGAGAGUUCAAGAUGUAACGCCAUGGGGUAGGAUCCUGGAACUAUUCUCCGGACCAGGGGACCAGAUUAAACUGGGCCCUGUAUCCAGGCUUAAUCUCAAGCAUGAAUACUGGAAGAGUGGAGGACACUUUAGAAGGCUGGAACUAUUUGGAGAAGUAGCCCUUAGGAAUGUGCCCUCAAAGGGCAUAUUUUGUUCCCAGCUCAUGUCUCUGCACCUUCCCCUCUCCUUCCAAGCUGCUAAGAGCGUAUGAGAGUUCUUCCACCAGGCAUCUCUGCCAUGAUGUGCUGAGCUCCUGCAUCUUUUUUGUUUUGUUUUGUUUUGUUUUGUUUUUACGAAACAGGGUCUCUCUGUAUUGUUUUGGAGGCUGUCGGUCCAGCCCGGCCUCGAACUCACAGAGAUCCGCCUGCCUCUGCCUCCCAAGUGCUGGGAUUAAAGGCGUGCGCCACUACCGCCCGGCUGAGCUCCUGCAUCUUAACAGCAACUGGACCAAAAGACCCCAGACUGGAACUCUAGAAACCAUGAAUCAAAAUAAACCUGCCCUCCUUUGAUUUCUCUGAUAUUUUGUCACAACAA